AAGAUUUUAAGUUAUUCAAACUAACGUCCUUCAAAGACGUAAAAAAAAGAUAAACUCUUUUAAAUCUUA
rnacentral:tRNA from 1 species